AAGAAGCACAACACAAUCACGAUCAUGUCAAUGCAAAAUCCCACCAAAGAUAAAGAAGAUUUCACAAACAGAGUAAUGCCUCUUCCUCUCACAAUUUUCUCUUCUUCUCCCUCUCCUACCCCUGCUCCACUCCGAUGGCUUCUCUUCCUUCUCUUUCGAUCAGCAGUAGUACUGCUCACAAGAUUGAAACUGAUUCAAGGAAGCUUUCUUCUUCCUCUUCCUCAGUUGAAAAGGGCCUCUCUUUCCAUCGAAGCCAAGAAGUGCCACUCGAGUCGAGCACAGAGGCCUUGCAGCCCUUCGAACCUGCUCUGUACACUCCUCUUUUUCAAAGAUGCAGUGAAAUCAAGUCCUUUCCGCUGCUGAAGCCCUCCACGCACACGUGCUGAAGACCGGAACCCUCGAGGAUUUACUGGUCUCCACAUCCCUCGUCAACACUUACAUGAAAUGCGGUGCCUCAACCCAUGCCCACAAGCUGUUCAACGUUAUUCCCCAGAAAAACAUUGUCACCUGGACCACGCUCAAUAACCAGGCCGAUGAAGCUGUUCGAGUCUUUAUUCAACUCCGUGAGUCUGGUUUCUACCCAACAAAUUUCACACUUGGGCCAGUCUUUAAUGCUUGUUCGUCCCUUUACUCUAUGGAGCUUGGCAAGCAGCUUCAUGGGUAUAUAAUAAAGUAUCAUCUUGAGUCUGAUACCAGCAUGGGGAACUCACUAUGCAGUUUGUACUCUAAAUGCAGGAGCUUGGAAUAUGCAGUGAAGGCUUUCCAAAGGAUUCCAAAUAAAAAUGUCAUAUCUUGGACUACAAUUAUAUCUUCCUGUGGUGAUAAUGGCAAUGCUGAGUUGGGUCUGAAGAUCUUCCAUGACAUGCUAUUAGAAGACGCCUUACCUAACGAAUUCACACUCACCAGCGCUCUGAGUUUAUGUACUGAAACACAGUCAUUUGGGCUUGGGAAGCAAGUUCACGCCUUUUGUGUGAAAUAUGGCUGUGAGUCCAGUGUUCCUAUGAAGAAUUCAAUCAUGUAUUUUUACCUUAAGUCAGGGGAGACUGAAGAAGCCAUGAGGAUAUUUAAUGGAAUGGAGACUGUUAGUUUGAUCACAUGGAAUGCAAUGAUCGCCGGUCAUGCACAGUUAAUAAAUAUUGCAAAGGAUGGUGCCUCAGCUCAGAGAAGUGGAAUGGCAGCAUUGAACAUGUUUCAAAUGCUUCACAAGUCGGGCAUGAAGCCUGAUCUCUUUACCUUUUCGAGUGUUCUAAGUGCUUGCAGUGACUUGGUAGCACUAGAACAAGGGGAACAGGUCCAUGCCCAAGCAAUGAAGACUGGUUUUUUAUCAGAUGUGGUGGUGAACAGUGCAUUGGUGACCAUGUAUAACAAGUGUGGUUGCAUAGAGAAGGCUGCCAUGGCUUUUGUUGAGAUGUCCUCUAGGACUUUAAUUUCGUGGACCUCAAUGAUCACUGCCUACUCCCAGCAUGGCCGUUCCAUCGAAGCUUUACAGCUUUUCGAGGACAUGAGAAUGGCGGGGGUUAAGCCUAACAAGAUUACUUUUGUUGGAGUUCUCUCAGCUUGCAGCCAUGCAGGUUUGGCCAAGGAGGCUGAGCACUACUUCAACAUGAUGAGGAAAGAGUACAAGAUUGAGCCAGUUAUUGACCACUAUGCUUGCAUGGUUGAUAUGUUUGUGAGGUUGGGUCAAAUGGAGGAGGCGUUUAUGUUUGUGGAGAGGAUGGGUUUCGAGCCUAAUGAGAUAAUUUGGUCUAUUCUAAUCGCCGGAUGUCGAACCCAUGGGAAUAUGGAUUUGUGCUAUUAUGCAGCAGAAAGAUUGCUUGAGCAAAGACCCAAAGAGAUUGAGACAUAUGUGCUGUUACUGAACAUGUAUUUAUCAGCUGGGAGGUGGCAAGGUGUUUCAAAGGUGAGGAAGAUGAUGAAGGAACAGAAAAUUGGGAGCAUCCACGACCGUAGUAGGAUAAAUAUUCGCGAUAAAAUUUAUUACUUUAGAGCUGAUGAUAGAUCUUAUUCUUGGAGUUCUGAGUUGUAUGUAUUUCUUGAGAAUUUGAUUGAUAAAGCUAGAUGCCUGGGUUAUAUUCCUUAUAAGGAUGUGAAUGGUUCUGAAGGUGAGGAGGAAAGGAUAUUGAGCUCAGCUGUUCAUCACAGCGAGAGAUUGGCAGUGGCUUUUGGGCUGCUGAAGUUACCUAAGGAGGCACCAGUUCGCAUUGUUAAGAAUAUAAGUAUGUGUAGAGAUUGCCAUAGUGCUGUGAAGUACUUCUCCAUUCUAACCAAAAGAGAAAUUGUUGUUCGAGAUAGAAAAAGGCUGCAUAGAUUCAGAGAUGGACGUUGCUGUUGUGGGAUUUUGCUCAUUGAGGGAGUGAACUGCAGAUUUCAUUCGUCAUAGAAUUCAGUUGAUUACUUUUGAGAUGAUUCCUAUGAUCUUUGUGAAUAAUUUGGUGAAUUAUAACGCUUUGAAUGGAAAUCUGAACUCUUUGGGGCUGUCGGGUAGCACCCAAGAUUUGAUUUAAGUAGGAUUUUAUAAAUCCUCUAAAUCUGAAUUUUGAAAAUCCUGAAAAUUGUUUGGUGACAUUCACGAUAAAUCUUAUUAAAUCCCGUGUGACUGUUUGGCUAUAGAGCGGAUUUAACGAGCAGAAUCUUCCUCUGGAGCCAAUGGAUUUCCUAAAUCCUGCAAAAAACAGGAUUUCGAAAAUCUGGGAUUUAGUACGAAAAGGCGGAAUUUUCCAUCUACGGCAGCUUUCAUUUGUCGUGAGAUUUGGUUUUGCAUUUUAGGCCGUUUGGCUGGAUUUCACUUAAAUCCGCUUCAAAUCUGGCCUAAAUCCUGCAACCAAACAGCCCCUUUGUAUGGCUGUCGUAAGGGAUUUGUAGUGCAUUGAAGGCUCUGCAACCUGAAUGACUGGAAGAUUUCUACUCUUCUUUCUUCACUAA